GUUUGCGACCCAGAGGUUAAUUUCAGCAAAUGUCCCUGCCCUCUUUGCCGUAAGGACCAAUGGAAAGCGGAACUUGAGAAGGAGGCCGAUUCUCAGAGGGCCUGAGAUAUUUUUGUGCAGAGUUGAGACCAGCUGGAUCCUGGGCUGCAGACCAUAUGCCAUUUACAGCAGAAACCUCUUUCCCCUCUGGUCCUGCUUACAAUUACUCCCAUCUUCUGAUUUCCUGGAUUUUGGCACCUCAGUACAAUUUUUACAUCUGCUUCUUAACUGGGUUGGUGACCCUCCCUUUCCAAGCUUCUUGUACAUUGACUCUGCACACACUUCUGGGAUCUGUUCAUUUCUUUGGAUUUGGUGACAUCUAUCCCCAUCUCUUAACCUACUAUCGUUCCAGUUUUUGUACCGAUACAAUGACUAAACAGACUUGCCCAUCACCACUGAAUCACAGCCAAACAAAGGGUAGUAAUGAUUAUUUUGUAAUACCACAGUCUAUGUAUAGUCCUUGAAUCAGAGGUGGGAAGAAACAAGAAUUUUGAUGUGCUUGGUGCUCUCGCCCAAGCACUGAAGCACUUUACAAGGGAACAAAGAUAAGAAAAUCUAUCAAUUCCAAAUGUCCACAUUAGUCAUGCAUAAAGGCACCAACGUUUCACAGAAAACAAACAAAUCUAUCCCAACGAACCCUUGCUGUUUAUCACAUUCACCAGAGAGGCUAGAAAAAGUUGAGUUAUGUAGAAAUCCAUUUGAUGAGCCUCGAAAUGACUGUGAACUCGACACCUUGUCUAAACCCUUAUGACGGACCCUGAACCAUGGGCACCCAGCUGGACAGAGCCCUGUUGUCCAGAGCACAAAUCGAUUCCAUAUUGUAUGACAUUCCGUCUGGUGAUUUUUUGGAUCACCUCCCAAGGAAGCUACUCGGACUGGAAAGCCUAGUCCCACUGUCGAAACCCUAGUGAAAAGAAAUGUAGACACCCACCCCAGAGACUCUUCCAGCAGCGCCAUAGCAAAAUCCGUUAAAGCUUUAUUACCAUUAAUUGUAGGAGAGAGGGGACCUUGACCACUGUCCCAGAGCCUUGGAUAAAGUACCAAAUCCAUCCCCAAUGUGGUCUGGGAAGAUACCCGAAACAAAACAGGACUGGAAAUGCCAAGUGCACAUUUCACAAGUGAGUCAAGACACAAAAUGACAGGCAUUCACACUGCAUUGGGGAAGAUAGAUAAUAACCAGUAUCCAGGGCUAUCAUCACACACUGACUUGAGUCUAGCACUGAACACUGUGCUAAAAGUUGUGCGUACAUCAUGGAACAGAACCUUUUUAACAACCUGCAAGGAACGUACUACUAUCUCAAUUAACAAAAGAGAAGACUGAGGUCAAAAGAAUUUGAGUAAUUUAUCUGUCAUCACCCAGAUAAUAAAUAGUAGAGCUAAUUCAAA